GUCGUGGAUGAUACACCAACGACUCGCGCGCCGCCGAAGCUGCUCGACGCACCCUUCUUCCCCCGGCUCCAGUGCGCUGCCUGCCCCCAGGCCUCCUCCUUGAUCUCGCCGCCAUCGCUGCCGCCGCCGUAUCCUCCAUCCUCCCGGAGCCUCCUCCUCCUCCUCCUCGAUCUAGCCGCGGUAUCCUCCGUCCUCCCAGAGCCUCCUCUGCCUGCUUUUCGGGUGCUCCUCAAACUCGUCUUUCCCCUUGUACCUCUCUAUUUCUCUCUCUGGUCUUCGAUCCUCUUCAUUCUUUACCCUUUCGAACUUCUUGCAUCGUUCGUGAAGCAAAUGAUGAGAAGGAUAGCAU
rnacentral:lncRNA from 1 species